GAAUAUUUCGUUGCGAAUAUAUUUGAUUUUAGUUGCAUCAGUUUUGUAUGACGUUGCGUGGUUCGAUCUCGUUGACGAGGAACACGUCGGAUCGUGAGAUUUUAAAGCGUUUUAGUUCGUCGUCUGAUCCGGGACACGGUCGGCGAAGACGCGUGCGUGAGCGUUAGAAAGUAGCGGCGUUUAAAAGAAGACACGCCGGUUAGGGCGAACGCUCUCUGACCAGUGGCCCGAACGCACGGCUACGUGCCAAUAAACAGUUUUCCCUCUGAUUGAUGCCUCACUCACCUGACACACAGCGGGGCCUGCCAGGUGUGAGGCGACGGAAGAAAGAGAGCCGAAUUAUUAAUUCUAUCUAGCACUUUAUUCUCUCCCAUGGCCCGGUGCCAAGUGCGAAUUGCACGCGUACAGCUUCUAACCUCUUAGUUUCUUCCGAUCGACCGAACGACCCUGUGCUCGCCUCUCUCUCUCUCUCUCUCUCCUCCCCCCUCCCCCUCUACUCUUUUUUUGAAUUUUUGUGGAUUUUCGGUUCUACGGAUCCAGACCUGAACUCAUCUAGAUGUAAAAAUGAGCAGGAGUAGCUGCGAAUCGGAUGGAACCGUGAUGAAAGUUGCAAGUUUCUCGAUACGACGAUGCGAUGCAAGGAGGAUUGCAGGAGCAUAGGCGCAUGCGUAUACGCGUGGGAGCGUGGCACGCGCAGUGCCGGCUAAUUAUGUGGCACUCCUACGUGCCACGCGGCACAGGUAGGCCUGCCAGGAGGAUGGGGGCCCACGAUGGGGGAGUGCCAUUGCUCUAACAUCGCUAUCAUGCAGCUGUUCCAUGAGCUGAAGCAGCAGUUCCCUGCGCUCCCUGAUCACGUCGUUUCCCAGUGCAUCGCCCAGAAUAGCCACGAUCGGGAGACAUGCGCGAGAAGCCUUCGUGCCACUCAAGAGUCACGUCAGUCUCCGGGCGCGUUCCCACCGGCGGCACUUUGCGCCAUCCUCCAGCAACAGCAGCAACAGCAGCAACAUCAUCAACAUCAUCAACGAGCGAACCACCUGGCCGCGCAGCAGCAACGUUUCUGCACGAUGAGCCAGUUGCAACGCGCCAGCAACAGCAACAGCACGAACAACAAUACGCGACCACACAGACCAGCCUCGCUGGACAUUGGUAUGGCACGGCGCUGUCCCGUCAGCUGCACACGAGCAGCCGCGAUAUCAGCCUCGUCGCCGAUAGCUGCUGACUCAGCCAGCACACCUUCUUCAGCGCCUGCCGUCUGCACGACCGCGUCGCGCGGUUUCUUCGACGAUUGCACCGGACCGGGCGACGCGAACUGCCUUAACAAAGUCCAGAACGCGGGAAACGAGCCAGCCGGAUUCGAGCUGAACGUGAACGUUGCCUGCAGCCCUGCUGGCAAUCGCGACUUUCGAACGGUGCCUACGAUCGCUGGUGCCUGUAAACGAAGCGAUCUGCUGCUCGACCCACGGACUCAUUACGCCGAGCCGUUGCUCAACGUGGAGAACACGGGCCCGCAGAUCGAUCACACGCGAAGCUACACCUCGGUUAGUCUGACGCUGAGGCCGCCAUCCUCGGAACCGCAGCCUCCGAUCGACAUCAGAUCGCAGGGCUCGAGCCUGACAUACUCGAGCUCCUCCCUGGAUCCCCGGGGCUUUCAAAGCCGUCUUCAGAUUAGCAUCGGCGCGGGAGCCGUUGGCGGUGUGGCGGCUGCGAGAAUCAGACCUCCGAUGGGCCCUGUCAGGCCCAACAGCUUGAUACCGCCGGUACAAACCGGUCCUCAGAGACCACCAGUUGCAGGUCUUCCAGCAGGACCACCUAGUCAGUUACCGAGGCCCACGACGACAAUGAGCGCCCCGACCACACCUUCUGUACCAUCCACGACAAACAUCGCCCCCUCCAUUAGCCUUCCGACAACACCGUCAGGACCGACCACGACCUCGCCGCCCUCCAGUCCCAUUGGCGAACGAAUACCGGCCAAUUCUGAUCAGAGCCGAUCGCCGUUGAAUCAAGUGGCGGAGCAUCAAAGGGAAUUGGUCGCCGAGCAGUUAGCAAGAAAAGAUAGACUCGCCAGGGAAUUGAGAGCCGAGAAAGGACGACUCGAAGCUAUGAAGAAAGAAUUGCAGUCCCUCACGAGGCCCCUUGAUUCUUCGAUGCCUCCUCAGGAACUGAAAAAAAAAUUGAGGAGCGAGAUCUAUCAGCUACAAGUUGAAUGCGACAGACUUGCGGAUGAGGUAGAUCAGUGGUCUGACCCGAGAGUACCUUUGGGCGAAACGAACGAAAAGUUUUAUCAGCGUAUUUACACGGGUCAGCCCCUACCAUCGAGAUCUGCCAGCGCCGACCCACCGCCUCUGCCGAGUCAGCCACCCGCCUGGCAACCGGAACCGAGCGGUAACAACGUCGAUAGAGAGGAACGAGACGGACCUUCUUGGGUCUGUAGAAUGUGCACCUUCGACAAUCAUCCAUUGAUGAAUAAAUGCGAACAGUGCGACAUGCCGAGGCUGUUGGAUCACGGAAACACAGGUACGACUUCCGGAAAAUCGAUAGACGACCUUACGGCCUCGUUAACACGCUUGAACAUCGAUUCGCCACCUCCGCCGCCUCCAGCACCUCUGGGAAAGUAAAAUCCAGUAUCUUAACAGCAUGUCCAUUUCUUGCUAUGACAUUCUUGUGAAUUGACCGAUUUGUUUCAAAACGAUGAUAUUUUGUGAAAUACCGGAGAUGUACGGUCCCCUAUACUUUGCUACUGGUGAUCGAAUGUGUUACAAGAGGUGACAUUUCCUGUUGUAAAAUAUUUGCUCGUAAGCGAGAAAAUUGUUUUACGACCACCGCAAAGCAUCGAUGUGACAUCAAUAAAACAUGACUAUACGACGCACUUGAACGUAACGCAUGGACGUGCGCUAUCCUCUUCCUUCUUUCUUUUCUCUUCUUUUUUUUUCUUUCUUUUUCUCUCUUUUUUUUCUUUUCUUUUAAAUAAACCCAAAAAUUAAAAAUUUGAAUUUGAUCCUAACCCGAGAGGCAUGUUUAAUUUAGCAUAUGUUACAGUGUCAAUUUUUCCUAAUUAUUAAUAGUUUAAUCUGUUUAAUCGUUUCGACGAGUCGGUAAUCGUAAAUUGGCGAAACUCAAGAUAUUCAUAUACGAGUUACACAUCAUCACAACUUCUCUCCGAGCCGGAUAGUGCAUAGUUGGGUGGUAUGAUGUGAACUGCGUUAGAAACGUGAAAACUGUAUAUAAAAUCACUAUUUAAGUUAAUUAAAAGGUAGCAGCCAACAGAUCGGCAAAGGAGAACAUUUAAAUUUAAAUAACUUGAUUGAGUUCAACUUUUUGUUUAUUCAAGAGAUCAAUGUGUAACUCGAUUUUUGAUAACAAUGGAUUCAGGUUUAAGAUUGGAAUACAACGUACCGUAAAAUGUACCAUUCUCACUUCUGAUUACUAAAUAAUCAACGACUUAUCAGUAGUCUGACUUCUAUUUGUAUGAGUUUUGAAAUACUAUUUAAAAUACAAGAUAUUUGUAGUAA